UCUCUGUUCCCUGUCCAGGCCCUCAGUUUCACUCUAGAGAGGUGCUAUCCCUCCGUAUAUCGGAUUUCUCCCUACCUCGUUGAACUUGUUCACUCCCUUUGAGCCUUUUGAGCCUGUGUGUCUCGUUCUGCGCCCUGGAUUUCCCCCUCCCUGGACCCCUCAGUGGACCCAGUCUUGGUGUCCCCGUCGCCCUCCGCAGGGCCACGCAGGAGGAGUUGCAGCGCGACCGCUCGCCCGCCGCUGAGACCCCGCCCCUGCAGCGCCGCCCGUCAGUCCGCGCAGUGAUCAGCACCGUAGAGCGGGGCGCGGGCCGCGGACGACCCCAGGCGAAGCCCAUUCCCGAGGCAGAGGAGGCGCAGAGGCCUGAGCCGGUGGGGACCUCGAGCAACGCUGACUCGGCCUCCCCGGACCUGGGUCCCCGGGGUCCUGACCUGGCGGUUCUGCAGGCGGAGCGGGAAGUGGACAUCCUGAACCACGUGUUCGACGACGUAGAGAGCUUUGUAUCGAGGCUGCAGAAGUCGGCGGAGGCGGCCAGGGUGCUGGAGCACCGGGAACGCGGCCGC
rnacentral:lncRNA from 1 species